AGAGUACGUGAAACCGUUCAGGGGUAAACCUGAGAAACCCAAAANAUCGAAUGGGGAGAUUCAUCGUCGACGAAGCUGGCUCCCGUUGGUGUGCGAUUCCCCCGAUUGGGACUCUGUUCCAAAACGCGGGUACACCCCUUCGGCGAAUAACCGGCGACGUAGUCGUGCACUUCUCCCUUAGUAGAACGUCGCGACCCGUUGUGUGCCGGUCUACGGCCUGGGCUGUUGCCUGUCGCGGCGCCUUCGUACGCUCGCGGCAGAGGUUCGGUCGCCCGGCCGGCUGCACGACGGUACUCUGACGGUAUCGGGCCGCAACCAAUCCAUUCUCGAAUGUAUGUGCGUCAGGCCCGCCGCAAGCUCGGACAGUAUCACCCGGAGCGUGUGGACAUAGUUGCCCUCCCCGGGUCUGGCCAGCUGUUUGCAGGCGGUGUCCUUCGACCGGCCAAGCUUUGAAUUACCGGUCAGCGACGCUAUUGCUUUGGGUACUCUCAGGACCCGUCUUGAAACACGGACCAAGGAGUCUAACAUGUGCGCGAGUCAUUGGGAUAUGUAAACCUAAAGGCGAAAUGAAAGUGAAAGUCGUCCUAAGCGUCGACCAAGGGAGGAUGGGCCGCGUAUGUCUCGGCCUCGCACUCCCGGGGCGUCUCGUUCUCGUUGAGAAGAGGCGCACCCAGAGCGUACACGUU
rnacentral:rRNA from 1 species